UAAUGCAAUUAUACAAGCUACUACUAGAUAUAUUUUAAUAUUAUAUAGUGAAGGGAUAUUUACAAGGUUAGCUUAUGAAGGAAGAUUUUCUCCUCCUUAUCUUCCAACCAAGUCGUCCCCUUUCCUCUGCCAAACCCUUAGUUGUUUUUUUAAUUCCUUUGAUUUCAAGAGGCACUCCAAUUAUACAAGAGGUUAUCCAAUAACGCCACUGCUCGGAGAUUGCUCGACGUGCCGCGACGUCUCAUCUCUCCUGACAAAGCGGAAGCUGCCGUUGCUCUGGUUCGAUGAUGCUGCGUCUUUCUUGGCUGGGAAUCGACGCGCCACCGUUGCUCCCUCCCCGGUUCUCUCUCUUUACAACCCAAGGGAGGGUGGGGUCUUCUUCUAGGAUGAGCCCUAGCUGCACUUCCUCGUUAAUCGCCAUCGCCGUGUUCUGGAUUCUAGCAGCGAAGGUUACGCCGCUGCUAUUCCUGGCAAUUCCCACCUUCUCGUCGCUCGGCGUCGAUCCACAGCUCACACCGAUGGAACAGGGACCGCUGCCUUUCCUUAAUUACCUAAAAGCUAAGCCCUUUUCCUAUUUUCCUAUUUCUCUUCUAUGGGGUAAAUUCGAAUGAUGUUGUGGUGUACUAGUUAACCUAUUGGAGUUGUGGUUCUCUUGCUUGUCAUAAGUGAUAUGAAACAUAGGGUUGCCAAUUUCUUUAAACAAAGUUUGCAUAUCCGAAUUUCCUAUAAAUGAAGCUGUGUAUUUAAGAGUUUUGUAUAGAUAAUAUGGAUACAUUAAGUACAGAUCCUCUGCAUUUCUAUGCGACUGGGCAUGCAUUAAGAAGUGUGGUAAUCAUAGUCUGUUGAUUUUAUAGGAAGUAAAUCGAUUAUGCUAUUUAUCUCUUUAUCCAGCAUUUCUAUAUAACUGAUCUUGUGUUCUGUUGGGUAUAUGAAGACGAUGUAUUUGGGUAUUUAUUCACAAGAAAACAUGAUUCCCUAAUAGUUUAGUUUAAGUGAAUUUGGGAGUUCUUGGAAUAAGCUAGCAUCAUGUUUGAUGCUUGUGUAA
rnacentral:lncRNA from 1 species